rnacentral:rRNA from 1 species
AUUCCAGCUCCAAUAGCGUAUAUUAAAGUUGUUGCAGUUAAAAAGCUAGUAGUUGGAUUUGUGGUGCUGCCUGCAGUCCAAUUAGCUUUGGUGCUAGCGGGUGGCGCCAUCUUUGAGUGGAACCUGUAGGGCAUUAGCUUGUUCUGCAGGGGAGAUUCAUCGUUUACUGUGAAAAAAUUAGAGUGUUCAAAGCAGGCUUACGCCAUUGAAUAUACUAGCAUGGAAUAAUGAAAUAGGACUUUGGUACUAUUUUGUUGGUUUGCGCGCCAAAGUAAUGAUUAAUAGGGACAGUUGGGGGUAUUCGUAUUCCAUAGUCAGAGGUGAAAUUCUUGGAUUUUUGGAAGACGAACUACUGCGAAAGCAUUUACCAAGGAUGUU